GUACGGGGGGGGCAAGCGUUGUUCGGAAUUACUGGGCGUAAAGGGCUCGUAGGUGGCCAACUAAGUCAGACGUGAAAUCCCUCAGCUUAACUGGGAACUGCGUCUGAUACUGGAUGGCUUGAGUUUGGGAGAGGGAUGCGGAAUUCCAGGUGUAGCGGUGAAAUGCGUAGAUAUCUGGAGGAACACCGGUGGCGAAGGCGGCAUCCUGGACCAACACUGACACUGAGGAGCGAAAGCCAGGGGAGCAAACGGG
rnacentral:rRNA from 1 species